rnacentral:rRNA from 1 species
CCUACGGGUGGCAGCAGUGAGGAAUAUUGGUCAAUGGACGAGAGUCUGAACCAGCCAAGUAGCGUGAAGGAUGACGGCCCUAUGGGUUGUAAACUUCUUUUAUAAAGGAAUAAAACGAGGCACGUGUGCCUUUUUGCAUGUACUUUAUGAAUAAGGAUCGGCUAACUCCGUGCCAGCAGCCGCGGUAAUACGGAGGAGCCGAGCGUUAUCCGGAUUUAGUGGGUUUAAAGGGAGCGUAGAUGGGUUGUUAAGUCAGUUUUGAAAGUUUGCGGCUCAACCGUAAAAUUGCAAUUGAUACUGGCAGUCUUGAGUACAGUUGAGGUAGGCGUAAUUCGUGGUGUAGCGGUGAAAUGCUUCGAUAUCACGAAGAACCCCGCUUGCGAAGGCAGCUUACUAAACUGUGACUGACAUUGCUGCUCGAAAGUGUGGGUAUCAAACAGGAUUAGAUACCCUUGUAGUC